GAAGUGUGCUAGACUAUAUAUAGUUAUUACAGUAUAGCACCAUUUACCUGCAAUAGUCCAAGCUAUUUAUUAUUAACCUGAGCCCCCUGUGCUCCAGAAUUCAAAAAACCAUUUAAACUGCUUAAUUGGAUGCUACUUCACACCUCCGUUGCUCCAUAUUUUUUAGAUAAGUGCUAGCUGGUACAUAUCUGAUGAUUAUGACCCCAAGAAUUUUAGAAUCAGAUAUGAGAUGCUUUGGCGAGUUAGUUG